CCUACGGGUGGCAGCAGUGGGGAAUAUUGCACAAUGGGGGAAACCCUGAUGCAGCAACGCCGCGUGAGUGAUGACGGCCUUCGGGUUGUAAAGCUCUGUCUUCAGGGACGAUAAUGACGGUACCUGAGGAGGAAGCCACGGCUAACUACGUGCCAGCAGCCGCGGUAAUACGUAGGUGGCGAGCGUUGUCCGGAUUUACUGGGCGUAAGGGGAGCGUAGGCGGACUUUUAAGUGAGAUGUGAAAUACACGGGCUCACAUUGAGUGCUGCAUUUCAAACUGGAAGUCUAGAGUGCAGGAGAGGAGAAUGGAAUGCCUAGGGUAGCGGUGAAAGGCGUAGAGAGUAGGAAGAAUACCAGGGGCGAGGGCGAUUCGCUGGACUGUAAAUGACGCUGAGGCUCGAAAGCGUGGGGAGCAAACAGGAUUAGAGACCCGAGUAGUC
rnacentral:rRNA from 1 species